CCAUUGGUGACGACGUGACUCGUCGAUUCGCUCGUCGCGAUAAUGUUGGUGGCAACUUUCAUCAGACAUCAUCGACCGAUCUCGUUUCGUGUCGUGUCUUAUUUUUCCACCAUCUCAUUCUUGACUUUCGUGGCCAGUUGAUCAGCCCUGAUCACGAUGUACUCUGGCAUCGAUAACGUUUGUGAACAAGAAUCAGAAAUGCAUUAUUCCAUAAAACUCGAAGUCGCAGCACGUGUUUUGCAUAUUAUCUGUUGAGAAAAUAGUGGUGAUUCCAGUUUUGAUGACCUGUCCACGUUGAUGCUGCAUCGCUACGCAAAGGAACCAACUCAUGCGUUUAUUUCGAGCCACCCUGCUGCCUCCAUUUCCCGAAAUAUCUCAUGAAUGAGACAUUUUGUGACGACUUGCUGCUGUCCACAUGUUUUGAACCUUCGUCAUUUUUCGAGGCCCUGCAGCUGUUGACGCAUAGCCAUUGGUACUGGACAAUCCAAAGUACAACAGAAAUGACGGAAAUGCAAAGGAUAACAGCGUCAUCGCGUGGUAGAAAAAUAAAGCUUGUACUGGCCACCUACCGGGCAUUUAGAAAAGCUUAUUUAUUGGACUGCCACUGCCACGGUGUCCGGUUCCCAUUUGAAUCCGAACUUUCGUCGUCGCAACUUGAUGUCUGUCGAUGACUUGGUUUGCAUUUCAACAAAUCAAAUUCUGCUGGCUCAUCUUUCUGUCUAUGAGGCUGCAUCCUCGUCUGGUGAAUGAUUCAUGAUGGGUUAAUCCUCCAUUGCACAAGCAGUUGCAUGUACCACCUCGGUUUUUAAAGGUGACUUGUUUUGGAAACAAAUUGGAUCACUUCAUUGUCAAUCAGUCUGGUGCCAUGCUGUCUAAUGCAGGCUGUGCCUUCUAGAUGUUAGAGGUUGGUUGAAGGAGGUAUCCUAUAGUAAAGGUUCUCUUGUGGUACGUGGUAGCAGUUGAAGAAGCAGUGAACUACCGAUUGAGACCGCGAUAUGCUGUAUUCCAUCUUAUUCUGCAGGCAUAAGAGAUUUUGGGUGUUGUCGUGUCACGGAUUAUGGUUUUGUGGACUGUUACUAGGAGUUCGCUACCUUGGCUUUUCAACUGAUUUCAGGUGGUCUUGUCGACAAUCAGCAAUUGAUUGUUGAAUUGGGAGGAUAUUGACGCGGGGCUGACAUGUUCAACGCCUUUUCUUAUGGGAUUAUGGGUGUCUUGGUGUGUCCGGAUUGCCAGCUAGAAUAUUUUGCUCGUUUCUUCGCUGUUUCUGCUGUCCUGUAGCGCUAGGUAUAUGGGCAAUGUUUGGAAUUGGUUGGCGAGUCCAAUUGGAUGAUACAGUUUUGUGGCCGUUUCCUUCUACUGUGCUAAAGGAUCCCAAAAAAAUGAAGGGUCUUUCUUCUUAUGCUUGUUCUCCAUAUUCGAUUGUUUAUUAAUUCGAUAAAAUUGCCUGAAACGGAUGCCUGUGGAUGAUUCAUUUGUCAUUUUGACUUGAGUGUGUGCUGCUUUCUUAUGUUCCUGAGGUUGAUCACAUGUUAGGUGAUACAUGGUGGUAAGUUCAUUAUUGAGAAUUUUACGGGUAAUUGAAUUUAGUUUCUCUAGGGUUAAUCCUGCAUUGCUUGAGUAAUAAUAUGUGCCAUAUGACUAGUAAGUCAUGGUUUCUUGUGUGGUGAUCUUCGAAUGUGAAUACUUGAGAACAAGUAGUUUAAAUACUUAAUGGUCCAGCAGCCUGGUGACAUGCCAUGUACUUAAAUCCCUACCUUCUACAUGUUAAUAGCAAUACUAUGGUUGGCAUGAAGAGGCAUCUAGUAACAAAGUUGCUUCUGGGUUCCGUCUACGCAUGGUGUAUUGUUGAAGUGUAUGUCAAGUCGGGAGUUAACACUGGCUAUUUAGUUGAUCUGCUGAUGUCUUGGAGAUAUACUCCAAGCACACCAAAUGAAGGGUUUCUGGCAUUUUGACGACGAAUUCCAGUGGUAGCGUACAUAACAUAGGAUGUCUUGAUGACACCAAAUGUCAUUGUAAAGAUUAUAAAAAGAUGUUUAAGGUAUUUGACAAAUGUGUUUAAUAAAGUGACUUUUUGGUUAUUCUUAAAUUGACAGGAAAAACCUAAAGUUGGAGGAUGAUGCAUUUGUUUCCUAGUACUAGAGGAUUUUAUACAUUAAAGGGGCUUUCUCUUUAUGCUUGUUUCCAUAAUGGGUAUGGUUUUCAAUCAACUAAAUUGGGUCCAUUUUUUUAAGUAGAGCAGUUAGUUUUUCUUGUACAUAGUUUUCCGUCAUAUAAGUAGUGUCUAGCAGUAUUUUCCUUCUUUAGAUAUAACGUACGGUACUACGUACGUUUAGGUAUAACCUGUUGUAGCACUUUGUGCUUGUGCAAUUUUCUCCCUCCUAUUGAUCAUGUUGUUUGAAGUUGUGUUGUGUGUAUCUGAAUUAUUUGAUAUUCCUUGAAAAUGGCAAAUAUUGCGACAGUCGAGUUUGGUUUCAAAUAAAUGAAACAUUCACACGUAAAA